rnacentral:rRNA from 1 species
CGGAUCCCGAAAGUUGUUCGGCCUUACUGGAUUGGCUGGGCAACCUGGGGGUUCCAGGAAAUAGCUCCCGCAUCAUGCCUGUACCAUAACCGACACAGGUGGGUAAGUAGAGUAUACUAAGGGGCGCGAGAUAACUCUCUCUAAGGAACUCGGCAAAAUAACUCCGUAACUUCGGGAGAAGGAGUGCCUUAUUCUUAAGGUUGCAAUAACAAGAUCCAAGCAACUGUUUAUCAAAAACACAGGUCUCCGCUAAGUCGUAAGACUAUGUAUGGGGGCUGACGCCUGCCCAGUGCCAGAAGGUUAAAGAAGUCGGUUAGCAAUAGCAAAGCUGGUAACUGAAGCCCUGGUGAACGGCGGCCGUAACUAUAACGGCCCUAAGGUAGCGAAAUUCCUUGUCGGGUAAGUUCCGACCCGCACGAAAGGCGUAAUGAUUUGGAUGCUGUCUCGGAGAGGGGCUCGGUGAAAUAGACUUGUCUGUGAAGAUGCGGACUACCUGCACCAGGACAGAAAGACCCUAUGAAGCUUUACUGUAACUUGAAAUUGAAAUUGGACUUUAUUCGCGCAGUAUAGGUGGGAGGCGUUGAUUAUAAUCUUGUGGGAUUAUUGGAGCCAUCAGUGAGAUACCACUCUUGUAAUGUUAGAUUUCUAACUUUGAAUCAUUAUCUGGUCAAAGGACAGUUUCAGGCGGGCAGUUUGACUGGGGCGGUCGCCUCCCAAACGGUAACGGAGGCGUACAAAGGUUUCCUCUGAACGGUUAGAAAUCGUAUCUAGAGUGUAAGGCAUAAGGAAGCUUGACUGUGAGACCUACAAGUCGAGCAGGGACGAAAGUCGGUCUUAGUGAUCUGACGGUACUGAGUGGAAAGGCCGUCACUCAACGGAUAAAAGUUACUCUAGGAUAACAGGCUGAUCUCCCCCAAGAGUUCACAUCGACGGGGAGGUUUGGCACCUCGAUGUCGGCUCAUCGCAUCCUGGGGCGGUAGUACGUCCCAAGGGUUGGGCUGUUCGCCCAUGAAAGCGGUACGCGAGCUGGGUUCAGAACGUCGUGAGACAGUUCGGUCCAUAUCCGGUGUAGGCGCUAGGAUAUUGAGAGGAACCUUCUUUAGUACGAGAGGACCGAGAAGGACAUACCUCUGGUGUACCAGUUAUCGUGCCAACGGUAAACGCUGGGUAGCUAUGUAUGGAGUGGAUAACCGCUGAAAGCAUCUAAGUGGGAAGCCCACCUCAAGAUAAGUAUUCUCAUCACGUAAGUGAGUAAGGUCACGGUAAGACUAACCGUUUGAUAGGCAUUAGGUGUAAGUACAGUAAUGUAUGUGCUGAGAUGUCCUAAUAGACC